CAAUAGCGUAUAUUAAAGUUGUUGCGGUUAAAAAGCUCGUAGUUGGAUUUCUGCUGAGGACGAUCGGUCCGCCCACUGGGUGAGUAUCUGGCUCGGCCUUGGCAUCUUCUUGGAGAACGUUGCUGCACUUGACUGUGUGGUGCGGUAUCCAGGACUUUUACUUUGAGGAAAUUAGAGUGUUUCAAGCAGGCGCACGCCUUGAAUACAUUAGCAUGGAAUAAUAAGAUAGGACCUUAGUUCUAUUUUGUUGGUUUCUAGAGCUGAGGUAAUGAUUAAUAGGGAUAGUUGGGGGCAUUCGUAUUUAACUGUCAGAGGUGAAAUUCUUGGAUUUAUGAAAGACGAACUACUGCGAAAGCAUUUGCCAAGGAUGUUUUCAUUAA
rnacentral:rRNA from 1 species